UAGGGCCGGGCACGGUGGCUCACGCCUGUAAUCCCAGCACUUUGGGAGGCCGAGGUGGGGGGAUCACAAGGUCAGGAGAUCGAGACCAUCCUGGCUAACACAGUGAAACCCCGUCUCUACUAAAAAUACAAAAAAAUUAGCCAGGUGUGGUGGCGGGCGCCUGUAGUCCCAGCUACUCGGGAGGCUGAGGCAGGAGAAUGGCGUGAACCCGGGAGGCGGAGCUUGCAGUGAGCCGAGAUCGCACCACUACACUCC
rnacentral:lncRNA from 1 species